rnacentral:rRNA from 1 species
UCGUCAGCUCGUGCCGUGAGGUGUCGGAUUAAGUGCCAUAACGAGCGCAACCCCUGGGAUUAGUUGCCAUCACGUAAAGCUGGGCACUUUGGUUGGACUGCCACUGUAAGUUGUGAGGAAGGUGGGGAUGACGUCAAAUCAGCACGGCCCUUACGUCCGGGGCUACACACGUGUUACAAUGGGAGGUACAGAGAGUUGGUCUUGCGCAAGCCGGAUCUAAUCCUAAAAGCCUUCCUCAGUUCGGAUCGGGGUGUGCAACCCGACCCCAUGAAGCUGGAUUCGCUAGUAAUCGCGCAUCAGCCAUGGCGCGGUGAAUACGUUCCCGGGCCUUGUACACACCGCCCGUCAAGCCAUGAAAGCCGGGGGCGCUUGAAGUCCGUGACCGCAAGGAUCGCCCUAGAGCGAAACUGGUAAUUGGGGCUACGUCGUACCAAGGUAACCGUA